CUACGUGCCAGCAGCCGCGGUAAUACGGAGGGUGCAAACGUUAAUCGGAAUUACUGGGCGUAAAGCGCACGCAGGCGGUUUGUUAAGUCAGAUGUGAAAUCCCCGCGCUUAACGUGGGAACUGCAUUUGAAACUGGCAAGCUAGAGUCUUGUAGAGGGGGGUAGAAUUCCAGGUGUAGCGGUGAAAUGCGUAGAGAUGUGGAGGAAUACCGAAGGCGAAGGCAGCCCCUUGGGAAUGUACUGACGCUCAUGUGCGAAAGCGUGGGGAGCAAACAGGAUUAGAUACCCUGGUAGUCCACGCUGUAAACGAUGUCGAUUUGGGGGUUGAGCUUUAAGCUUGGCGCCCGUAGCUAACGUGAUAAAUCGACCGCCUGGGGAGUACGGCCGCAAGGUUAAAACUCAAAUGAAUUGACGGGGGCCCGCACAAGCGGUGGAGCAUGUGGUUUAAUUCGAUGCAACGCGAAGAACCUUACCUACUCUUGACAUCCAGAGAAUUCGCUAGAGAUAG
rnacentral:rRNA from 1 species